rnacentral:lncRNA from 1 species
GCGUGAGAUUACUAGGGAACAAAUCAGUAGUUCCGAAGGAGGCAAAAUGAUGCAUAGGCAGUGCAGCUGAAGCACAGACUAUAAAUGGUGCUGUGCUGCGUCUCCACAGAGCUCAGGUGUCUUCUGAAGGCAAAUUACUUCAUAACCAGCACAGAACACGGUACUGUUGCCUAAAGGGUUAAAUUAUUUUUUAUCAGCUGACAAUCUUUGAAGCGUAAGUUUGUAAGUAUACCAGCAGGGAAAAAUUAAAGUGCUCCAGAUCUGAUGGCUGAAAAUAUGAAAAUAGUAGUCUUAUAUGUCAUAUAGAAGAUUCUCAUGCACUGAGGAGAUCUGCCUGAUGUACAUAUAGUUUUUCUCCAGGAAAUAAAUGGAUCCAAUCAGUGUUUUUAGGUUUUACA